CACAGAAAUAUUACAUGUUUCUCGUAAACAUGAUGUCUCACCUCUGGAGUAUUCCUCGUUGUUUUUCUUUUUUUUCUUGUAAAUUAUCAUUAUUUUCUUUCAUUAGAUAUGAUAGGAGAGAGACAGGAAAUAAGAACAGCAAAGCGAGAGCUGAUUUGCAGCCAAUAAUCACAACAAAGACUGAAACCUGCAAUAAUUGUAAUGAGGUUUGGAGCCUCUGCAAUUUCCUUUUUGUAAAGUGCAGCGCCAAAAACUGGGAUUUUAAAUGUGUGACUCAUAUAAUAUAUCUUCAUUCUUGUAACAUGUCCAUUGAUUUAGAAACAUCAAACAUAUGAGGUCCCCUGCCAAUGCAUUUUUUUUUUGGCAAUUUCGAUUGCCAUAUUGGCCCCUCCAACUAUUUUUCUAUUUAUCCCUGUAUCUUAAGAUACUUUGAGUUACUCAUGUCUUAACUAGGUACAGGGUCAAACUUAUUUAAUGAAAUUUCCUUGACUCUUUUAGGGAGGCAGGAGAAGUUAAAUAAAGUUCUGGCAUCAAUUCAUGCCAUUGGCCAAACAAGUUCCAGCUGACCAGGUCCAAGCUCUUCAACUCUCAGCUUCUCAUGCAGACAUCUGGGUUUUCUUUCUGCAUUUUGUUGACUUUCUCUCUGGCUCUAGCCUCAAACUCUUUCCUUAGGUUCAAACUCUGCCCUGUUCAACGGAGAGUCUCAAUUAAGUGGUAUGUUGCUCUUUUGCUGUCACCUGCUGGCUGGUGCUGCAUGAUGCAAUUUGGGUGCAAUGAGUCUUAAGUUGAUUUCCAACAUUGUAAAGGACAAAAUGCACAUGCAACACACUCAUUGAAGACUCUUUUUUUUUUUUGGCCUUGGACAACAAAUUUGUGAAAAAUCUGUUUCUCUAGGCUCACAGGAUAUUAUGAGGCUACAUUUUAAACAUAGUUUACUCAUUUCACACUUAAGUCAAAAAAUGUAAUUUCGUUUAAUUUUUGUUAAGAGUGGUGGGGUUUUACCAAAAUCACGUUACCUGUCAUUUUCAAUGACUUUUCUUCUGCAGAGCUCCAGUAGCUCAUUACCAAUUUGCUUCUGAAUCGUGGACGGAGACAGCGCUGCUCUGCACCCUCCUCUUCAUGCUAGCUUGUAGCCUAAAAUUACCGGUGUCGUAGAGGUGGCAGGUAAUAUAUGAACUAUUCAGCUCUUGAAUGUCUUUGGGGGCAUGAUGAAAUAAUUAGCUUUCUUAACAGCAUUGCAAUCCACUACCGCACACACUUGUUCCACCAUCGUCCUCUCUACUUCUCUGGGUCUAGCCUGCAGAGUGGGGCACCAGGGGCAGAGCAUGGGCAUGUAAUGUAGUUUUAAGAAUUCCCUUAAUUGUUGUUUAACUUUAUUGGUGAGUCACAGAGAGCCUUAUUUGAAGCCCACCCUGCUUUCUAGCAUUAUCUUCAAUUUUAGUUUCAGUGGGUUUCCAAUCAACAAAAUUAACAUCAUGCUGACAGAGACUUGACACGAAAGAUUCACACCAUGUUAAAAAAAAAAGAGAGGUCACUCCUCCCUCUGGUUUCACACUUGAGACUCCUUUUAACAGUCUCUCUGCAAAAUGAAUUUUCCCCCUGCCAGUAAUUGCACAGAAAGCAGGUUUAAGGUAUUUCUCUAUUGGCAUCAGGAUUAGAAGCAGAGGUUAUUAGCAUCCUUGAUAGUCCAUGCUUGGGGAAGUCAGGUCCAUUUUUCUAACUGCUCAAUACACAAGAUGGUCUGGACUUCUUUAGAAAAACACCAGGUAUUUCAGAUGGCUAUUAUUUAACUUUCCUUCCUGCAUACUUUGAUAGUUUUCUCCAAACCUUAUUACAUUGAUGUAUGGUUAAAAUACUUCUUUAAAAACUGCCCUGCAGUGGCUGUCAUCCUAAGAUUGAGUGUGAUGGUGUAUUCUUGACAGUGAAUUAGAAGUAGCAAAAAACAAAGUCAAGAUUAAGGACACACAAAUCCUGACAAAGAGCAGCUUCACAGGACUGAAGUCCUCAGUGCUACAAAGAAAAUUUACUUCUGACCAUUGAGUAAGAAAAGGGGAAACAAAGAUCUAUCUAUCUAUCUAUCUAUCUAUCUAUCUAUCUAUCUAUCUAUCUAUCUAUCUAUCUAUCUAUCUAUCUAUCUAUCUAUCUAUCUAUCUAUCUAUCUAUCUAUCUAUCUAUCUAUCUAUCUAUCUAUUCAAUAAGAUCAGCUGUUGCAGUCAACAGUUUCAAUACACCCUUACAUACAUUUAUCUACAUUUUUUACUAUAUUCUACAUUUUAGAUUAAUGUUUAGACAUCACAACUAUGACGGAGCACAUGUAGAAUGAUUUAGUAAGCGAAAAAGUGGGAAACAAACCAGAAUCUGUUUUUUAUUUUGGAUUCUUAAAAAAAAAUCGCCCUUCAUGAAGACAGCUUUACGGACUGUUGGCUUUCUCUUAAUGAGGUUUUCACCUGGAAUGGUGUUCGAACAGCCUCAAAAGAGUUCCCAGAGAGUUUCCAGAGGUGCAGAGAAACAGAUUUUUCUUUACUCUGCUGUCCAUCACAACCCCAGACCAACUCAAUUGGUCUUAGGUCAGGUGAUUGUGGGGGCCAGAUCAUUUUGUGUAGCACUUCAACGCUCUCCUCUUUGGUCUAAUAGCCCUUACACAGUCUGGAGGUGUGUUUGGGGUCACUGUCCUGUUGAAAAACAAAUAACAAUCCCACAAAGUGCAAACCAGAUAGGAUAGCAUGACGCUGCAGAAUGCUGCGGUGGCCAUGCUGCUUAAAAGUGUGGCUUGAAUUUAGAUCCACCUCCAGCGGCACCAGUAAAGCACCCCCAUACCAUUACACCUCCUCCUUCAUGCUUCACAGUGGGAACCAUCCACUCACCUUUUCUGUGUCUCACAAAAACAUGGGAAAAAUUCUCAAACCCACCAGACCAAGGUGCAGACUUCUUAAUGUUUAAUAUCCAUUAUUUGUGUUUUUUGGCACAAGCAGCUCUCUCCUUUUUGUUGAUCCUCCUCAGAAGUAGCUCCUUUGCAGCAGUUUGACCAUCAAGGCCUGAUUCACACAGUCUCCUCUGAACAGUUAAAGUUGAGAUGCUGCUGAUACUUGAACUCUGUGAAGCAUUUAUGCUGGCUCUCUUCUAAGGCUGGUUACUCUAGAGAGUUUAUCCUCUGCAGCAGAGGUGAUUUUUGGUCUAACUUUCCCUCAUGAAAAUCAGUUUCUUCAUUGCAUUGAUGGUUUUCGGGACUGCACUAGAGCCUUGUUUAUACAUACCCAGUUAUUUUUAAAAAUGGAGACAUUAACCAUCAUUUGCACCCUUGUUAGACGCAAAUGGAGAAUUCUCCCCUGAAAACAAUGCUUUUUAAAAACUCCAGCCGGAGUGGACCUUUUGGACAACUCUGUUUGCACAUUUGCAUGUCAACUGAGAAAAACGGAGGUCAAUGGAGAGUUGGAUAGCUGACUGCAGAUUGUGCACCGGAAACUGGGUUUAAUGUGAUCUACAGUUUCACCAUCUACAGUUUAUGUUUAUAAUCUAUGGUGAGAAUAGCGGUUGCAUUUAUGAUGGUGCAAUCCCUUUACAUUUGUUACCUCCGCCAAGGAGGUUAUGUUUUUGGUAGCGUUGGUUUGUUUGUUUGUUUGUUUGUUUGUCUGUGAACAACUUUACAGAGAAAGUUACAGACAGAUUGACCUGAAAUUUGCACCAGAAGUCCAUCUCAGCCCCAGGAGGAUCCCAUUACAUUUUGGUGGUGAUCCGGCUCGCCUUCUGGAUCCAGGAAUUUUUUGAAGGAUUCUUUAUCAUUGUGAGAUAGGGCAAAUUUUGGAAUUUUUACAUUUAACUUUAUAAAAAUGGCCAGAGUCUUUAGGAAAAAAUUACACAAAAGGAUCUCAAUGAGUUUUAUGAGGUGUCAAAUGUUGAUCCUGAUCCACACAAAAUUCCGGAUACUGUGAGCUGCUUGGUGGAGGUCUGCGCUCUCAGAGUGCUUUUCUAGUUUGCAUUUGCAUCCUUUCCAAAAGAAGAGAGUGACGUUGUUGUUGCUGCUAUGCUGAAUUCUGAUUGGCUUUUUUGAAAACGUAGUUGUGUGCACUCAGUUUUUUUUGUAAACGGAAAGGGUGAAAUAUCCGUUUAUGAAAAUAGCCGGGCACGUGUAAACAUAGGCUAGGAUACAUUCAAAGUUUUUCUGAAUUGACUAAUCUUCAUAACUUUAAGUAAUGAUGGGACUGCUGUUUCUCAGUAGAGUUUCUCUUUUUAUAUUAUGGAUUAGAACAGAAGUCGACUAGGGCUGCGUAGGAUUGUGUACAAACCCUAUCUUUGCAUGAUGAAACUCAUGGUCUUCAAUCCUUGAAGAAGACCACAUUAACUCUUAACAAUUAAGGCACACCUUUUGAGUGAAAUCCAGUCCAAGUGUUUACCUUUUGACUUAGUCUGUUUUCAUAGCAAAAGGUUAAUUUCAUUCAAAUACAAUAGAAUGCAUACUCAGUGUACAGUGAGGAUGCUUAUAGCUGUGUGAAAUGUGCAUUAUGUUUAAAGGGCAUGCAAGACUGGGUGGUUUUACUCUGCUUUAGUUCACUUAAGGUCUAAAUAAAGUCAGGGAGAUUACUGGGAUUGUAUUACAGUACAGUUAGUCUGCAUAUGUGUGUGUGCGCGCACCUUUGUGUGAGUAAGGUUUAUGUUCCUGUGUGUUGGGGCAGCUGCGUUCAGCUCCUUCUUGCUGGAGCUCCAGUCUGUGGAGGUAAUGAAGAUCAAUGAGAGGAACAGUCGAGGCCGGCUCAGAUCCAGGUACUGUCUCCCUGUUUCAGGCCAAAGCUCUAUCGAUCCCCCCUGUGCUCAACUCUGCCAGCAUCUGAUAAAGGGCUUCUAUACAAACACACACAAAGAAAAAAAUGCACACUCUCGCACAAAGACUCACUCAUGUACACUACCAAAGACACACACUAGGAUGCUGGGCUAAGUCCCUAAUGCCGGAGAAGGAGUUAAGCCUCCAUCACCCCUUUUACAGUUUUCUGCACUGUCUCAAACACCUGAAGGAAAAUGUAGAGCUCACAUUUCAUCAUUGUCAAAUAAUGCCGACUGAGUAGAGCUAUUUUUCACCCUGCAAAUUGCCUUGUGGUGGUGCUGCUUUCAAGUACACUUUUCUUUGCUCCUACUUCGAAAUGCGGACAAUGGAAAUAUGAAAAUAUCAUGUAUCCAAGUGCUGUUUUUGUCAGCAAUGGUAAGAGCAAAUCCUCCAAUAAGAGCAGUCUCUUCUUAAUGGAUGUUAUGUGAAUUCACAAAUAGGGGCUCCUGCAGCAGGCUUUCUUGUCAGAGUUGCAAAAGGAUGUUGGUGUAAACACUUAAAACUCUGCACUGAAGUGUAAAUACAUAAUGCAGGUGAAUUUUGAAAAAGAAAAUAUGUAGACACUAUGUUUACGGCUCAUGUUGGAGGAAAUGUUGCAUUCAUGGUUGGAGCUAAUUCCAGUAGAUUCUGCAGAACUCAAUAUCGACUCAAGUCUUCUAGUUUCCAUUUGUCUGCUGUCCUCUGAAUACAAUCUCAGAACCUCAUGUGAGUGAUAAAAAAGAGAUUCAGCUUUCACUGACAGCAGUAAAUAUGUACACAAAAAAACAUCCUCCAUCGUUGUUCCUAAUACCCAACUUGAAGGGUGUGAUAGACCACGACACCACUUGGGUACAGCCUACAACCUGUGAGCACUAAGACCAGGUCCACAAUAUCUUGGAAAGUGUUUAACAAUGUCGACAAAAUGAAACAACCUGCUAAAACAAAAGUUUGUUCGCUUCAUGUGAUGGAAGUUGGGCUGAAAUGAAGCAACAGCCUUCGUGAAUGAAUCCAGGAAGGAGAUGCAGAAGAAGACAACUGAGGCUGCAGGCUUUAGCAAGCCAACACUGUGCCAAUGAUGCACUUCACAUAAAACCUAAAAAUUGACUUUUUGUUCAAUAUUUCUGAAUAAUAACAGACAUAUUCUGCUGUAAGAAUUAUUUGUCUAAUUAUCUCCGCCUGUUGGGAUCAAUGUUUGUUUCAGGCUGGCCAGAGGUGGCAUCCCUUGAAAUCAGAUUAACUCAAAGUAUAAAUUUGAAGGCUGAAAUACGAGACAUUUAUAUUUUAUUGUAUCAUUAAAAAAUAAAAAAAAUUCUGUGUUGCAACAGGCUGUAACCAAGGGCGUAGAAUUGGGUAGAGACGCUAGAGACACAUCCCUACCAGUAAUCAGCUGCUACAGUGUAGCCUAUCAAUACAACCGCUGUCCGUAGUGUUUAAUCAAUGAUUUUGGCACACAAAGGGUUAACAGUUGGUCUCAGCUACAAGUCUAGCCUCUAACCUAAAUAUUGCUCUUCGAUUGGCUGCUGAUUUCCCGCUUAAGUACAUGUGAUUGGCUGUCUCUGCUGUCACUACAUCUGCGUGUAAAAGCUACCUGCUACUUGGACUGAAAGUGAGGCAGACAGUGCAUGUUAUUUGCAACCGCAGAGUGUUAGUUGUCAACAUGUUUGACAUAUUGUGCUUGGGCCAUGUCAGCUUAAACAGAUUUUAAUAUCAGCGGUGCCAUUUACAUUUACAUCUGUGUUUGUGUCGUUAUGCGUGCAUGGUAUUGGAUUUGUCUUUAGAUAUUCAGAUAUGCAUUAUAAACACGAUAGUUUUCUGACUAUUUGCUUGUUUGAUCAGCCCCUGUAAAAGAUGUGCUUAAAGUGGAGUUCGUUUGUAGUUUUCAUUUGUACAUGUGCGAAAUUGUUUAGGUCCACUUCGUCAUGUAGAGCUGAUCAAACAAGCAAACAUUUGUGUCCCCGCCACCAAUGUCAA
rnacentral:lncRNA from 1 species